rnacentral:rRNA from 1 species
UGUCGUGAGAUGUCGUUAAGUCCGCUAACCGAGCGCAACCUCGCUGUGUGUUACAAGUGUCACACGGAACUGCCGGUCAUAAACCGGAGGAAGGUGGGGAUGACGUCAAGUCAGCAUGGCCUUUAUAUCCUGGGCUACACACACGCUACAAUGGGAAGGGACAAUAGGUUGCGAAGCCGCGAGGCGGAGCCAAUCCAGCAAAACUUCCCUCAGUUCAGAUUGCAGGCUGCAACCCGCCUGCAUGAAGUUGGAGUUGCUAGUAAACGCAGGUCAGCCAUACUGCGUUGAAUACGUUCCCGGGGGCUU